AUACGUAGGGUGCAAGCGUUAAUCGGAAUUACUGGGCGUAAAGCGUGCGCAGGCGGUUUUGUAAGACAGAGGUGAAAUCCCCGGGCUCAACCUGGGAACUGCCUUUGUGACUGCAAGGCUAGAGUACGGCAGAGGGGGAUGGAAUUCCGCGUGUAGCAGUGAAAUGCGUAGAUAUGCGGAGGAACACCGAUGGCGAAGGCAAUCCCCUGGGCCUGUACUGACGCUCAUGCACGAAAGCGUGGGGAGCAAACAGGAUUAGAUACCCUGGUAGUCCACGCCCUAAACGAUGUCAACUGGUUGUUGGGUCUUCAUUGACUCAGUAACGAAGCUAACGCGUGAAGUUGACCGCCUGGGGAGUACGGCCGCAAGGCUGAAACUCAAAGGAAUUGACGGGG
rnacentral:rRNA from 1 species